rnacentral:lncRNA from 1 species
UAUAGACCAAGCAACCAGAUCGACCACCGGAGCAACCAGAACAAGGCAUCGGCGAACGGAGGAGGAGCGAAGGGGAUCUUCUUGGGUGAGGGGGGUAAGAGGAGGUUAUUUUAUUUCAAAUUCACCUCGAUCCCGUUGCAGCAGACGUCGACAUCGGCGAUAAGGACGAUGGCGGCGACUAUGCCAGCCACGACGAUAGUGAGGGAGCGACGGCUAGGAGGCCUUCAGGCAGCUAUCUAGGCAAAGGCAUAGUCAAU